rnacentral:lncRNA from 1 species
AUGUACACACACACAAAUUCACAUAUGGAUUUGAUUUGUGUGUAUAGCAGACUCUAUCGAAGACUUGAAUAAAUAAGAAAGAUACAUAACUUAAAAUUGGGUGUUAGAUGUCCUGAUCCUAGAAUGUUCAUUAGUUCUUUCAUCAACUGGGAGUAUUGCUUCUCAACCUUUUUCUCCCCUCUCUGCUUUCUUUAGUGGCCUCUCCUCUCAACUGAGCUCCUCCUGGCCACCUUUGCAUACCUUUGAUUAUUCAUGAAGGAUUGUCACUGAAAAGGACCCAUCCCCCUCGGGAGGCAGAUGUGCUUAUAACUUGCACCUCCCCUCCCUACAUAUUCCAAACCAGGAGGAUUUCUUAACCUUAACCCAUUUGUUGAAGAAGGGCAAGAAAAUGUGCUCCAAUCACAGGAAGAUGCUUCCUCCCAAGCUGAGCGAGACAAGGAGACAACCUGAUGCCAUCAUGGAAGCUGAAAAUCCUCACGCCUUUCAUUCUGUCUAGGGCUGACUGGAACCAGGGCUGGCUGAUCAGCUGUCAGGCUGCUUUUUAGCGAGGCUUGGAAAGUUCCAGCAAAAGCCCUGCCUUUGAACCGGAAUCACUCUGCCACCAUCUGCACAUGGAUCCUUUGUAGUGGAGACAGUGAUCUUUGUUCUGUAUAAAAACAGACUGGAACUCUUCUUGGGCCUGUCCCUCUGCUGACAAUUCCAACUAAGUGCAUUGCGUUGCUUUAAUAUCUGGCAGAGCGUGAAUUGUAAACACAUCAUUAGACUUAAAGGCUGCCCUGAGAUGGUGGCUGGAGGAGAACGGGGCCUGAAGAAAAGAGGAAUUUGGCUGAAAAUGAGCUGCUGAAUAAUUUAUCAUGAAUUGAAAUGUCAAUACCUUAAGUGAGGCAUGGUGAAGCUUCAGAACUCAGAGGUAAACACUGUGAGGAUGUAAUUCUGGAGAGAACAUUACCAAAAGCCGUGGCUCUUUGGAAAGAGCAGGAGGCAGAGGGACCCUGGCUGGGUGUGGGC